GAUGGUAGGUUGACUCACUCAUCACGAAAUCUCCGAAACUAUAACACCUACAAACUUGAAAUUUAGCAGGUAGGCUCCUUAUAAGGCUUAAACAUCCCUAAGAAUGGAUUUUACAAAACUCAAUCCCUAAGGGGGUAAAACAGGGGUUGGUAGUUUGUAUGAAAGUCCUAUGUUUUUGAAGUAAGAGACUUGAAAUUUGAACAAAACUAAACAGAAUAAAGAACAAAAUAGAAUAGAACAGAACAGAAUAGAAUAGAACAGAAUAGAAUAGAACAGAAUAGAAUAGAACAGAAUAAGAACAGAAUAGAACAGAAUAGAACAGAACAGAACAGAAUAGAACAGAAUAGAACAGAAUAGAACAGAACAGAACAGAAUAGAACAGAAUAGAACAGAAUAGAACAGAACAGAAUAGAACAGAACAGAAUGGAACAGAAUAAGAACAGAAUAGAAUAGAACAGAACAGAAUAGAAUGGAACAGAACAGAAUAGAAUAAGGACAGAACAGAACAGAAUAGAACAGAACAGAAUAGAAUAAGAACAGAACAGAAUAUAACAGAAUAUAACAGAAUAUAACAGAAUAUAACAGAAUAGAACAGAAUAGAACAGAAUAGAACAGAAUAGAACAGAAUAGAACAGAAUAGAACAGAAUAGAACAGAACAGAAUAGAACAGAAUAAGAACAGAACAGAAUAGAAUAGAACAGAACAGAACAGAAUAGAACAGAAUAAGAACAGAACAGAAUAGAAUAGAACAGAACAGAAUAGAACAGAAUAGAACAGAAUAGAACAGAAUAGAACAGAAUAGAACAGAAUAGAACAGAAUAGAACAGAA
rnacentral:misc_RNA from 1 species